CUGAGUCGAGUUGUUUGGGAUUGCAGCUCCAAUUGUACGGUGGUAAAUUCCAUCUCAAGCUAAAUAUUGGCGGGGGACCGAUAGCGUACAAGUACCGUGAGGGAAAGAUGCAAAGAACUUUGAAAAGAGAGUGAAAGAGUACCUGAAAUUGCUGAAAAGGAAGCGAACGAAGCUAGUGAAAGCUGCGUCAUACUUUCCAACUUGCUUGCAAUUUGGACGCUGUGGCCAGCCCAGUUGAGCUUGAUUGCAACAGGUGAAAGCAGGUAAAGAAAAGACUCCAUUUUCUCUCGCCCUACAUGCACCUAUUACAUUUGAGGUCAACGAAAUAGCUUUGUUUGCCCCGU
rnacentral:rRNA from 1 species